GGUCUAGUAGUGUAGAGGUUAUCACAUGGGAUUUUGACGUGAACUUCCCAUAACCCAGGUUCGAGUCCUGGUUAGACCU
rnacentral:tRNA from 1 species